GAAGGGAGGACGCGGGCGAUUAUGCCUAGAAUGGAUUUUUUCGGAAGGAAUAGCAACAAAACAUUGUGUCAAUAGCAUGAUUGUGCCAUUCUGACUUGGACCUGUGGCUUCUGAUUCAGCCUGAGAGAUAAUUCACCAGUGAUUUAUAGGGGAGGCACUGUGAAGGAAACUGGUGUUGUUAGUCUACUUUCUAAGAACCCAAACUUUGAUGGGUGUGGGACAGUGAUGGCCAUCUUUGACUCAGGUGUUGAUCCAGGGGCACCUGGGCUUCAGGUUACAACAGAAGGAAAA